rnacentral:rRNA from 1 species
GCGAGUCGUACGAGAGUUUUUACUCUAGUGGCGGACGGGUGAGUAACACGUGAGAAUUUACCUUUAGGAGGGGGAUAACAAUUGGAAACGAAUGCUAAUACCCCAUAUGCUUUCGAGUGAAAUGGAUUUAUAUUUAUUCGCCUAAAGAGAAGCUCGCGGCUGAUUAGCUUGUUGGUAAGGUAAGAGCUUACCAAGGCGACGAUCAGUAUCUGGUUUGAGAGAACGAUCAGACACACUGGAACUGAGACACGGUCCAGACUCCUACGGGAGGCAGCAGUGGGGAAUUUUCCGCAAAGGGCGAAAGCCUGACGGAGCAAUACCGCGUGAGGGAAGACUGCCUAUGGGUUGUAAACCUCUUUUUUCAGGGAGGAAUAAAUGACGUGUACCUGAAGAAUAAGCAUCGGCUAACUCCGUGCCAGCAGCCGCGGUAAGACGGAGGAUGCAAGUGUUAUCCGGAAUCACUGGGCGUAAAGCGUCUGUAGGUGGUUUAAUAAGUCAACUGUUAAAUCUUGAGGCUCAACUUCAAA